ACUUCGCACUUCGCAGUAUUCAGUAUUCAGUAUUCACAAUAUUCCGCUACUCUUCCAAACGCUCACUCUGCAACUCCAUUGUUGAACAACAAAACUUGCAUCUUGCAUCUCUGAAUUCCGAAUAAGAAAUGGUAGUACUCACUCGUCUGAAAUCCGCUUUACGUCUUCUUCCUCGUUCUUCCGUGACCUACGCAACCUCUGCCUCUUCCACCUCCAACCUCUCACCGGCGAAGAGGAAUCAAAUCGCCGCCGUUUACGUCCCGCAGGAUUUGUAUCGUCGGAUCUUCACUGUGACCGAUCCAACUCUCCCGGUUGUUACGAUUCUCGAGCAGUGGGUUCAGGAUGGCCGAACUCUUAGCUACGAUAAACUGCUAUUCCUUAUCAAGCAACUUAGGUCACGCAAAAGAUAUAAAAACGCCCUCGAGGUAUCAUUUUGGAUGUCUGAGAAAGGAUACUCUGAACCUAGUUCUGCUGAUUUUAGUUUAAGACUGGACUUGAUUGCAAAGGCUAAGGGAAUAGAAGAAGCUGAAUCCUAUUUUGAUAGCAUUCCGAAAUACUCAAGAGCUGCAGAAUGUUACAGCUCUCUUCUUAAUUGCUAUGCUCAAGUUAGGGAUGUGGAUAAAGCUGAAAGGAUCAUGCUGCAGAUGAAACAUUUGGGUUUUGCAAGGUCUACUUUGGCAAGAAAUUCUUUGCUUAACCUCUACUAUCAAACACAAAACUAUGACAAAGUGGAAAAUUUGUUGCUUGAAAUGAAAGAAGAGGAUAUUAAAUUCGAUAGAUUUACAUUAGCCACCUUGAUUAAUACAUAUGCGGCCCAAUCUGAUAUAGAAGGAAUCGACAAACUUCUUGCACAGUUAGAAGAUGAUCCAUCGUAUUCCCAACAUGUAGAUUGGUGGAGUGUUUAUGCUGUGGCAGCCAAUUGGUAUGGCAAACUUGGGCUUCAUGAUAAAGCUUUUAACGCUUUAAAGAAAUCAGAGAAGCGCCUGAGUUAUACAAUCUGGAAUGAGGCCUUUCCUUACCUUAUGACUCAAUAUGCAGCAAUAGGGAAGAGAGAAGAAGUGAUGAGGUUGUGGAAUAUUUACAUGAUGGAUGGGAAAUUACUCAAAAGAGACUAUUAUUCAGCUGUAAUAAGUUCGUUUCUCAAGUUGGAUGACAUUGAACUUGCUAAGAGUAUCUUUGAGGAGUGGGAAUCUAGAAACCGGUAUUUCAUAAAUUUCUUUAUUCCAAACAAGAUGAUAGCAGCUUACAGCAGAAAGGGCAAUAUGGAGGAAGCUGAAGCCAUUGUUAAUAGGACAAUCAUGAAGGGAGGAAAGCCAAAUUCAUGGACUUGGUCAUGGCUCUUGCUUGGAUAUAUUCCACAAAGAAAUUUUCCGAGGGCUGUUCAAUGUAUGAAAGAGGCAGUUUCUAUCUGUGAAGUGGGGUGUAAGUGGAGGCCAUUACCAGAAUCCUUAGCUGCCAUUUUUCAGUACUUGAAAUUUAAUGGAGAUAUGGAGGAGGCAGAGGGUUUGAUAAGGUUACUCAGUAGCAAGAAUGUUAUCUCCCUUGAUAUUCAUAACAAGCUGAUGAGUUGGAUUAAGGAUGUGGAGUCAAAUGUGCCUGCAAUUGCUGUGCUGGGAGGCGAUUCACAUAAACAAACAGGUGAAAUUUCAAAGCCAGAGGAAGAUAGGAACAGCCCUGACUUCUGCCUUAGCCAUCAAUAAAAUGUUAAGGGGUGACUGUCAAUUAGGCAAAUCAUGUAUUAGGGUUUACAUCUGGUGUACACAUCUUUUCAACAAUGAAGUUUAGGACCAAUUGGUGUAGGUGAAUGGAUUCCUUACUCCCACUUUUAUGCGGGAGUAUCAUUAACCCACUUAAAAAUAUUUACAAAUUGAAUCCCGUUUUUUUAUUUUUGAAAAUAUUCAUAAUUAAAUAUUGACCCCUCAAUUUAUUUGUAUUAGGCAUUUCUUCUCCUUUUCCUUUUGAUUCCAGAUUCACAGAAGGGAUAGGAAAAUCUAGCAGAUUCUCUUUCAAUCACCGUCGUCGUUCUUUCUUUCGCUACCUCCUCGGUUACUCGUUCUCUCCUACACCGUGCUUGCUCUACUAGGGUUUUCGCCCCUCUUUCACUCACUGUUGCUUGCUCUAUGUUCCUCUUCAUCCCCGGUCUUGCUCUUUCUCUAAUCCUCGCCACCGCAACACGGUUCCGUCUUUCACUCACUGUUGCUUGCUCUAUGUUCCUCUUCAUCCGCGGUCUCGCUCUUUCUCUGAUCCUCGCCACCGCAACACGGUUCCUCAGCCGCACCGCAACACUCGGGUCCACCACUUCCCUGGUUUUUGUCGCCCCUCUGUCCCUGUUCUUCACCAGCGACUCUGAUCUUUGUCCUUCUUCCUUCACCUCUGCCUUUGCGACCUACUCCUUUAAGGUGGGAAGUUUUCAAACAACAAAUGAAAGACAUGCUUUAUCACAGUGAUCAAAAGGGCAUCGAGUUGAAAAAGCCUGGUGCUUCUCUUUAUACGUUUCCCAUGCCAGAUUGCAUGUGUAAACAGGAAGAAGCAAGAAGUAGAAAUUGUAGCUCUAGGAAAUGUACGAUGUUUUGAGUAUAAAUAUAUGACCUUUAGGAACACAAUCAAUACCUGUAAUUUAUUUUUGUAUCAUUCAGUUCGAUUUUCUUUUUUCUUUUUAAAUAUGGUAGAAUUAUUUUAAGUAAAGUGUAUAAAAAAGCCACGAAUUAAGUGUUAAUUGUUCUUUUCAUUUAAGCUCAACAAAUGGCACUUAAGUGUACAUUAAAUAAUUGAAAACCUACAAAGACACGUUUCGGAAUGCUGAUUGCAUCAUGAAUCAUUCUUGGAUCCCUGCUGACUGCUGAGUUUAGCAUGGCAAUUUAAUUGCGUGAAGGUUAUAUUGAAGGCUUAUAAUUUUGGUUCUUGAUUUAAUUGAUAUUUGCAUGAGCUGUCUAAAUGACUAAUUCCAAUAAUGGCAUUCUGAGUUUUGAUCUUAUACAUUGCAUUGGAUUUCGUAGUAAAAG